rnacentral:rRNA from 1 species
AUACGGAGGACGCGAGCGUUAUCCGGAUUCAUUGGGUUUAAAGGGUGCGCAGGCGGCCGUGCAAGUCAGCGGUGAAAGCCCGGGGCUCAACCCCGGAAGUGCCGUUGAUACUGCAUGGCUGGAAUGCGGUCGAGGCGGGCGGGACGGGGGGUGGAGCGGUGGAAUGCGUAGAUAUGCCACAGAACGCCGAUAGCGGAGGCAGCUCGCCAGGCCUGCAGUGCCGCUCGGGAACGAAAGCGUGGGGAUCGAACAGGAUUAGAUACCCUGGUAGUCCACGCCGUAAACGAUGGGCGCUCGUCGUCGGCGGCAGACAGUCGGCGGCCAAGCGAAAGCGAUAAGCGCCCCACCUGGGGAGUACGGUCGCAAGGCUGAAACUCAAAUGAAUUGACGGGG